UAAGUAAUCUGUCUUAAUCUUAUCGUAGAUCUCGUAUUACGUUUUAUAAGGUGAACUAGUGUUUUUCAUACAAUUUGAAUUGUAUACAUGAUUGGUGAGAAAAGUAAGUAAUCUGUCUUAAUCUUAUCGUAGAUCUCGUAUUACGUUUUAUAAGGUGAACUAGUAUUUUUCAUACAAUUUGAAUUGUAUACAUGAUUGGUGAGAAAAGUAAGUAAUCUGUCUUAAUCUUAUCGUAGAUCUCGUAUUACGUUUUAUAAGGUGAACUAGUGUUUUUCAUACAAUUUGAAUUGUAUACAUGAUUGGUGAGAAAAGUAAGUAAUCUAUCUUAAUCUUAUCGUAGAUCUUGUAUUACGUUUUAUAAGAUGAACCAGUGUUUUUCAUACAAUUUGAAUUGUAUACAUGAUUUGUGAAGAAAGUAAGUAAUCUACUUUAAUCUUAUUACGGAUCAUAUGAGUGCUAUGGUUGUUAAGUUUUUAAAGUGUUAUUCAUGCAUGAUAUGUUAUGAUGGGUAAGUAACCUGUCCUAAUCCUGUUAUGGAUCAUGUCAUGUUAUUAAUGUUUUCCUAAGCAUUUAUUUUAAGUAUAUAUGUUUCAUGCAUGAUAUGUUACAAUGCAUAAGUAACUUGCAUGAUCCCAGAAGCUAUGGCUAUGUAUGCAAC
rnacentral:lncRNA from 1 species